CCAAACAUUGUAAAUGAAGGUAGACCCACCUGACAGUAAAGUAAGACAUGUAUACAUUUAAACGUUAAAACGUACACGAAUACCCGUGACACUGCUGGACAACUGCGUCACUACAGGAAGAACUUCCCAGUGGAUGAAUGUACUUAUCAAAACAAACAAAACCACGUAUGCUUUCAACGAAAUGCUCGAGUGAACUUGCUAUUACCUCGAUUGAAACAACGUGCCGAUUUAAUUCUAGUGUUACUCCAUAUUUUUUUGUGUUAACCGACAACAAAAAUGCCAUUUCAAGGAGCCAUGAGGAUUAUUUUACCGACGUUGUGGGCUAUUUCAACCAUAGCAGAGGAAUCCACGGUUUCGCCAACAGGCAUUACUACUACCAUCAACACCAAACAUAUCACGAAUUCGAGUGCCAACAACACGACGUCCAAGAACAAUCACCGCAACUUUUUCAACGCUUUCAAUGUAGAUAAUUCAAUGAUACAAAGAACAUUGUAUGUCCUUAUUGGAAUCACCACGAUUGGAGUGCUCUAUUUUCUCGUGAGAGCUGUGCGGCUGAAGAAAACAACAACCUCUCGGAAGAAAUAUGGCCUGUUGUCAAACUAUGAUGACAGCGUGGAGAUGGCUGCUCUGGAGAGUGAUGAGGAGGAGGACGACACUGUAUAUGAAGCCAGGUCCCUGAGAAAAUAAGUCCGGGUCUUGUCAAAGAACACACAUUGGACUAGGGAAAGAAUGGAGACCUUCCCAAAGCAUAUUUUUCAAUGGUUAUUAUGGCAUAUAAUUGUUUUUCUUAAUCUCUUGGCCAUGAAAACAGCAAAACUGGCUAUCAAAAUGACUGCUCUAUCCUCUGAUGAACACUCAUGUUGUAUAGCUUCCUGGGUAUGAAGAAGACAUGGUGUUUUUGGUGACCAAACCGACCUUUGAUUCUAUCUAUGAAGAGGAAGAAAUGGGAUUUGUAACAUUACAAGACCAAACCAGUUGUGCUGGGUCUGAUGCCAAAGCUGCUUGAGUGAAUGUGAGCAGAAUAAUGUUUUCAAAUCAGCUCAGCGACAAUGCGUUGUAUUGUGUAAAGUGGACCACUAUGUCCCCUCUGCCCAUCUUGAACUGUGCAUAACAAAGACAACAAUGAACAAAAUAUCUCAAUUAACCCGGUUGAUGUGGUGUUGCCAAGGUUUUAUUUCUUUGUCUCAAAAUUCUGUUGCCAUGUCAUCCUAUAUAUUUUGAUGUCCACCUUGAAUCAUACCUGGACCAUUAGUUAGGCUAGUGGCUAAUAGCCUGAUUGUGUUUACAAACUACUGUAAACUAAACCAGCCUACCAAUAUCCCCACCCCAUUUGAACUAUGCACCAGCACUAGAAUGUUGUACUGUAGGAUGUACCUGCUCUAUUUGGAAGACCCAGACCUAAUAUGUUCACAAUACUAUUAACACAAAGGAGUCUCUCAGAAAGCAAGGCUAAUCAAUAUGCAAUUCCACUGGCAAUCAUAAAUAUCACGCCCUCCUUUAUGUUUACCUGCAACUUUGUAAGAGAAGAUGUUACUCAUAUCAGUUAAACUGUAAAGAGAAAAAAAAACGUAUGAUGGGAUUUUCUAAAGAAUGACUAAUUUCAGAGCUGGUUCUUUGCUUUUUGUUACACAUGGUUGCUGUUGACUGAUUUAAAUUGUAUUCAUGUUUAUGAAGUUCAUUUUCACUUUUUGAAACAUUUACUCUGUGUUUUGUCCAGAGAACUUGCUGUUGUAUUAACACAAGAUACUACAUUAUUUAAAAAAAAAAUCCUUUACCAAUCCUUGGUUAGUCAAAAUACAUUUUUGAAUCUAUUGUGUAUUACGUUUCCAAACCAUACUCAAGUUGCUGAAGCACUUACCUUUUUAAGUGGAUCCCUGGAAGUCUCUGUCACUACUGUACUUGUUUCCAUAGAAAUUGCUAGGGGGACACCCAGCGAUAUGACGCACUGCUUUAUACAUUGUAAAAUCUUGGUUAAUUGUACCUUUCUUUCCAGGAGGUAACUGUAUUGAUAGUAGAAUGUGAGGUUACCUUCCCGGUAAUCAGAAGAGAGAGUUCUCUCAAAAGGGCUGCUAUCCUGCUGAGAAUACUCCCAGGUGUCUCUCUUGUGAUUACACAUAUUGGAAAAAUUGAUUGUACCCUUUAAACAAUGUCAAUACCAUUUUGCUCUGGCUAAAGUAGCAGGCCCAUUAAUCUGGCUCAUCACCCUGAUACCCUCCCUAAUGUAUCUCUAUAAGUCAUUUUGGAUGCUAUUCAAGAAGCGAAUCUUGUGAUUGUGUUUCUGGGAUAAGUGUAAAACUAUAUUUUCCCUCAUGACAGAAAAUGGCAUUUAUGAAUUAAUAUAGCAUCUCCUUUUUGAUUUGUACUGUUAUGUCAAGUACAUGGAUCUAAAUGUAUAGUCUUAUCUCAAAAACAUAUGCCACAAAACCCAGUUACUGUGCUUGUUUGAAUAGGGUCCAGAAUCUGGCAUCAAGUGCCAUGAGUGUCUGUUUUGCAGAGUAUGGAACUCACUCACCCAGCCAAUGUAGACUAUUCUCCAGCCAUAGGGGGACUGGGAGCACACAGUUGGAACUGACUACCAGGGAGGGUUUCUGAUGAUACAGGACAGAAAUGGGAGAAACCAUUGGAAUCAUUUGGGGGUGGAUGUGGGGGAGAAACAGUACGUCUGUACUAGAAACAGUCAUAUUUUGUAAGAUUGUAAAUGCUGCACCUGAGCUGGGAACAGCAGCUGUUGGGAUGCCAGAUCACAUCGUUCGCUGGUGUAAUAAGAUUUGUUUCGUCUCAAGGUGUUUUUCUGUCUGCAUUCCAUUCAGUCUGUGCUAAUCUUGUAUUUAAUGCUAGCGAUGUUAGUUACAUGAUUAAGGCCUCAUUGAAACUUCAAUUCUCUGACUGGAUCUAACAAAUAUAACGAUGACCUUCUCAGUUUGAAUAUCUAAUUUGUUACCAAUACAGUUUUGACUUGUUUUCAUGGUUUUUUUCUCGCCAUCCUCUCUCUGUCAACUGUAUGGACAUUGUGAUUGGCAAAAUCAUUCCUUUGUCAAUACUUUGGCCUGUGUGAUACAGAAGUCACAGUCGUGUUGGGAAUGAGUUCAAAGUCUGUGUAUUAAGUCUUGUGUUCCCUGUUGAAGACUAGUAGUGAGUGCUGUGUGGAUGCAGCAGGGCCGAGGCCCUCUGGUUGGUGGUGGGUAGCCUUGUUCGAUUGUUCUGACACUUAGGCUGUUCCUGUUUGCUCUUUUCAAAUAACAAUGAAAAUAAAAACAGUGAAACUUU